rnacentral:rRNA from 1 species
CCUACGGGAGGCAGCAGUGGGGAAUAUUGGACAAUGGGCGAAAGCCUGAUCCAGCAAUGCCGCGUGAGUGAUGAAGGCCUUAGGGUUGUAAAGCUCUUUUACCCGGGAUGAUAAUGACAGUACCGGGAGAAUAAGCUCCGGCUAACUCCGUGCCAGCAGCCGCUG